UCCCGGGAUGGCGCGGGCGCGGCAUCUACCGUCUGCUGGUCGCGCACCGCGCCCGGAUCGCCGCCGGUCUCGGGAUCC
rnacentral:tRNA from 2 species